rnacentral:sRNA from 1 species
AAUUCUAAGAUUUUAAAAAUUACUACUUUAAAAAAAAAUCAUGGGACGGGUAAAGAAAUUACAGAACGUGUUUUAUUUUAGAAUUGAGUUAUAUGGUGGAUGUAUUUGAAUCAAUAUUUAUAAAAUUUUAAAAUAUUAUUAAUAUGCUGUUUUAAUAGGGGUCAAAACUUCAGUUUUUUUAACAAUUGUCUUAUGAAUUCGUGGUAUAGCGUUACUUAAUAACAAUUAUAAACUGUAAAAUAUAAAUAUAUUGUAAAAAUAAAAUUUGCAAGUUUUAAUAUAUAUUACUUUUAAAAAUAAAUCGUUCCGCGGUAUACCGCGGGUUAAAAUCUAGUCCUACUAUAUUAUUUGGGAAGUCCAAUUUAAAAUAUAACCUUAACUUUCUAACUAAUUA